rnacentral:rRNA from 1 species
GAGUUUGAUCAUGGCUCAGAUUGAACGCUGGCGGCAUGCUUUACACAUGCAAGUCGAGCGGCAGCGCGGGGGCAACCCUGGCGGCGAGCGGCGAACGGGUGAGUAAUACAUCGGAACGUGUCCCGUAGUGGGGGAUAGCCCGGCGAAAGCCGGAUUAAUACCGCAUAUGCUCUACGGAGGAAAGUGGGGGACUCGCAAGGGCCUCACGCUAUGGGAGCGGCCGAUGUCCGAUUAGCUUGUUGGCGGGGUAAUGGCCCACCAAGGCGACGAUCGGUAGCUGGUCUGAGAGGAUGAUCAGCCACACUGGGACUGAGACACGGCCCAGACUCCUACGGGAGGCAGCAGUGGGGAAUUUUGGACAAUGGGGGAAACCCUGAUCCAGCCAUGCCGCGUGCGGGAAGAAGGCCUUCGGGUUGUAAACCGCUUUUGGUCGGAAAGAAAAGGCGCCACCUAAUACGGGGCGCUCUUGACGGUACCGGCAGAAUAAGCACCGGCUAACUACGUGCCAGCAGCCGCGGUAAUACGUAGGGUGCGAGCGUUAAUCGGAAUUACUGGGCGUAAAGCGUGCGCAGGCGGUUCUCCAAGUCCGUUGUGAA